CCAGGGGGCCGGGCAGCCGCGCUAUCCGCAAGGGUAUCGAGGAAAGUCCGGGCUCCACGAAGCAAGGGUGGCGGGUAACGCCCGCCGGGGGUAACCCCAGGGAAAGUGCCACAGAGAGCAGACCGCCGGUUCGCCGGUAAGGGUGAAAGGGUGCGGUAAGAGCGCACCGGGGGGCUGGUAACAGAACCCGCAUGGCAAACCCCACCUGGAGCAAGACCGAAUAGGGGCGGCGCGCCAAGGCCCAUGUCGCAAGACAAGGUCCAAGGCAGGUCAGUUUCGGACCCGACCGCCCGGGUUGGUCGCUUGAGCCGCGCCGCAAGGCCCGGCCUAGAGGAAUGGCUGCCAGUGCGGAUACGGUCUCUUCUGGGAUACCGUCCGCGCUACAGAACCCGGCUUACAGGCCCCCUGGCGUA
rnacentral:RNase_P_RNA from 1 species